GUGACAGCUGUAAGGCUUUGUGUUGGAUCAGGUCUCAUUACUGACUAAUGUGUUGGAUUAGUAAUUAGAGUAUGUUGCUUUGUGAUUAUACACAUAUUUGGAGAAUGAUUAAUUUCUGUUUAUCCAGUCAGUUGCCACAAUAAAUCAAUACAAUUACUAGUAGUAAGAUGGAAAGAAGUGAUGAUAACUAACUUUUUACUCUUGUGGCUAGAAUUCGGUAUUAUGGAGGUUUGGCGGCUGUAAAUGAGUAAAUAAUCAACAUUGUUGUAUGAUUGAGUUGAGUGUAUUGUAUAUUUUCAGCAGCCUUUUCAACUCCCUUAAUUGAGGCAGAAGAAGGCGAUGAUGCCAUUUUGCAGUGUCUCCUGGAUCCUGUUGUUGAUGUGUCGGAAUCCCCGGUGACGUGGAGCAAAGAUGACGCCAAGGACAUGGUCCACGUUUACAUCCGUGGACGUGAUCGGGCUUCUGACCAGAAGGAGUUCACGAACAGGACCUCACUCAACCACGAAGGCUUGAGGAGAGGAAACGUGUCCCUGCGUCUGUCCUCCGUACGACGCGCCGAUAGCGGCACAUACACCUGCUACAUCCAAAGGCUGGACACGUACUGUCAUACCGGCCUCAAAGUUGUGGCGAGAGGCCAACUCAUCAGACCACGAGGGGUUUCUCUCAACGUGACACCGUCGCUGGACGUGCCAAAGGCAGAAACUCCAGAAGACAAUGAAAAUGAAACUGGCUGUGAUGUCAAGUACACGGUUAUCUCCAUUUUCCUGGGUGUUCUUGGAGCUGUGAUUCUGUUGAUCCUUGGGACGUUCAUGACUUGUAAGAAGAUCCAAGAAAAGAUGGAGAGGAAAGUAGCAACAAGAACAACCAAUACUGAAAUGCAGAGUCUAAGUGGAGGACAUCCGACAAACGGUGCAGGAAACCCCCAGGAAGUCGUGUAGCGCUGGAUGGGCUGAAAUCACCCUGCGUUCACCAAAUACUACGUUUAGAAGCAACCGGAGUUGAU
rnacentral:lncRNA from 1 species